rnacentral:lncRNA from 1 species
CACUAAUCCACAUAGACUCUGGGCUGGAUCUAUUCUAAUAUCAUUUUAUAAUGAUCCAGGAUCUCAUUUAAAAAGGUUAGUCAAGAGAUAUUAUUUGGAUUCAUUAAUCUUAUAUAAGUAUCCAAAAUCUUUCUAGUGAAUAACUAAUAUUGGACAAAAUACACGCCGCACAGGUCUUUACAUACUCCCUCGAUUUAAGUCCUAAUGUCCUUGCUAGGAUAAGGGUCAAAUUCAUGCAUCUAUUUAUAAGCACCACAACUAGCCCAUGGUCAACCCAAUGAACCCAUGCCGUAGUAUCUCCUAGUCUAUAUAAGUUAUGGGCAAGAUCCACUCUGAUAUCAUUUAUAACAAAUCAGGACCUCAUCUAAAAAGACUAGUUGGGUUCCUUGGUCAUGUAUAAAUAUCCAAAAUCUUUCCAACAAAUAACAAAUAUGGGACUAAAUACAUGCCCAUAC